UUUGUUUGCGCAGGAUAGGUGGGAGGCGUUGAAGAUUUUCUUGCGGGGAGAUUGGAGCCGUUGGUGAGAUACCACUCUAACAAUGCUAGGAUUCUAACCCUAUACCGUUAUCCGGUUAGGGGACAGUUUCAGGUGGUCAGUUUGACUGGGGCGGUCGCCUCCCAAAAGGUAACGGAGGCGUGCAAAGGUUUCCUCAGGCUGGUCGGAAAUCAGUCGUAGAGUGUAAAGGCAUAAGGAAGCUUGAUUGUGAGACCUACAAGUCGAACAAAGACGAAAGUCGGCCUUAGUGAUCCGACGGUUCCGAGUGGAAGGGCCGUCGCUCAACGGAUAAAAGUUACUCUAGGGAUAACAGGCUGA
rnacentral:rRNA from 1 species